CCGACAGCAAGAUUGCAGACGCUCAAGCAGGUUAUGAAAAAUGUGCAUCCGUUUUAAUGACUGCGCAAGCUGGUGCAAAUCUAAU
rnacentral:ncRNA from 1 species